rnacentral:misc_RNA from 1 species
CCAAGUCCUCGACAACCUCCUCUCCUCGGAGUGGGGGCUCGGGGUAAAAGAACCCACGACGCCUAAGGCGUCAAGGAACACUGUGCCUAGCCCGGGGACGCGGACGGCUUGCUGGCCGCCCCCCGUGCUGCAAUGCUAUUUAAUCCACACGACUCUCGGCAACGGAUAUCUCGGCUCUCGCAUCGAUGAAGAACGUAGCGAAAUGCGAUACCUGGUGUGAAUUGCAGAAUCCCGCGAACCAUCGAGUCUUUGAACGCAAGUUGCGCCCGAGGCCAUUCGGCUGAGGGCACGCCUGCCUGGGCGUCACGCAAAACACGCUCCCACACCCUCAUCGGGUAGCGGGAUGCGGCAUGUGGCCCCCCGUAGCGCAAGCUGCGGUGGGCCGAAGAUAUGGCUGCCGGCGUAUCGUGCCGGACACAGCGCGUGGUGGGCGWCCUCGCUUUACUUACCGCAGUGCAUCCGGGGCGUAGCCGACGUGAUGGCCUCUAAGGACCCUUUGAACGGUGCGCACGACGCUCCGACC